rnacentral:misc_RNA from 1 species
GUUGGCUGCAACUCCCCAUCCGUACUUGUUGAAUAUAUAUUGACUUAACAACAUCAUUAUGAACGUUACAACACCAGUAGCGGUUGAGAAAUCACCCAUGAACGAAGAGUAUUCAUUCGGGCUCGGAAACUGUGCUUUGAGCUUCGAUUUCCACGUAACCUCAACAAGGUUGAUACUGAUGCCGUAUGCAACCACCAGAGUGGCAAGAUCCCGGAUGUAUCUUGAAGAUGCCAAGAAUUUCAAGCUCUCCAUCGUCCCCAUGUUAACCUUCUCCUUCUUCUUCUUGCUGCGAGUCGGAAGAGAAGCAAAUUUAUUCACCCACCAAUAGAGGAAACAGAUAGCAAGCCCCAUACCGACAACAAUACUCAUCAUUGCUUUCAGAGAUAUUGCCCACCCAUCGACUCCAGGACCCAAGUGUUUCCUCAAAUUUGAGAAAUACUUCACCGUUCUGCCUGAGAAAAUGAGGGCAACAUUUGCACCAAGCCCAAAUAGGGGAUAGAACUUUUUGGCUUCCUCAACAGUGGUAAUCUGAUUGGCAAAUCCCCAAAACAAA